GAUGAACGCUAGCUGGAGGCUUAAUACAUGCAAGUCGAGCGGGAUUGGUAGCAAUACCAUGAGAGCGGCGCACGGGUGAGUAACGCGUACACGACCUACCUCUGACAGGGGGAUAGCCCUGGGAAACUGGGAUUAAUACCGCAUAUUAUUCUGAUUAAUAAAGGAUUGGAAUGAAAGUUCAGGCGGUCAGAGAUGGGUGUGCGUCUGAUUAGCUAGUUGGUGGGGUAACGGCCUACCAAGGCGAUGAUCAGUAGGGGGCGUGAGAGCGUGGUCCCCCACACGGGUACUGAGACACGGACCCGACUACUACGGGAGGCAGCAGUAAGGAAUAUUGGACAAUGGCCGCAAGGCUGAUCCAGCCAUCCAGCGUGCAGGAAGAAGGCCCUAUGGGUUGUAAACUGCUUUUAUCAGGGAAGAAACCUCUGGAUUUACUCCGGAGCUGACGGUACCUGACGAAUAAGCACCGGCUAACUCCGUGCCAGCAGCCGCAGUAAAAC
rnacentral:rRNA from 1 species